GGUUCAGGAUGAACGCUAGCUACAGGCUUAACACAUGCAAGUCGAGGGGCAGCGGGAGAGUAGCUUGCUACUCUUGCCGGCGACCGGCGCACGGGUGAGUAACGCGUAUCCAACCUUCCCCCUAGUAGGGGAUAGCCCGGCGAAAGUCGGAUUAAUACCCUAUGUUCUCCUUUGAUGACAUCUGAUAUGGAGCAAAGAUUUAUCGCUAUGGGAUGGGGAUGCGUCUGAUUAGGUAGUAGGCGGGGCAACGGCCCACCUAGCCAUCGAUCAGUAGGGGUUCUGAGAGGAAGGUCCCCCACAUUGGAACUGAGACACGGUCCAAACUCCUACGGGAGGCAGCAGUGAGGAAUAUUGGUCAAUGGGCGUGAGCCCGAACCAAGCCAAGUAGCGUGCGGGAUGACUGCCCUAUGGGUUGUAAACCGCUUUUGUACGGGAAUAAAGUCGGGGACGGGUCCCCGUUUGCAUGUACCGUAAGAAUAAGGACCGGCUAAUUCCGUGCCAGCAGCCGC
rnacentral:rRNA from 1 species